AUUUCUGUCAGUGUUACCCGUGUUAGACUGCUCGGGAAGUGAUAGUACCACUCUUCUUGGCGCUGGUUAGGCCUCAGCUGGAGGACUGUGUCCACUUUUGGUCACCAAUGUAUAGAAAGGAUGGAGAGAAACUGGAAAGUAUCCAGAGGUGAGUGAUGAAGAUGCUCAAAGGGUGCAAUGCAAGACAUAUGAGCAAAGAUUGAAGGAACUGGCUGUGUUUAGUUUGGAAAAGA